rnacentral:rRNA from 1 species
CCCAGACUCCUACGGGAGGCAGCAGUGGGGAAUAUUGCACAAUGGGGGAAACCCUGAUGCAGCGACGCCGCGUGAGGGAUGACGGCCUUCGGGUUGUAAACCUCUUUCAGCAGGGAAGAAGCCCUCUUUUGGGGGUGACGGUACCUGCAGAAGAAGUACCGGCUAACUACGUGCCAGCAGCCGCGGUAAUACGUAGGGUACAAGCGUUGUCCGGAAUUAUUGGGCGUAAAGAGCUCGUAGGCGGUUCGUCGCGUCUGCUGUGGAAACGCAAGGCUCAACCUUGCGCGUGCAGCGGGUACGGGCGUAACUAGAGUGCAGUAGGGGAGUCUGGAAUUCCUGGUGUAGCGGUGAAAUGCCCAGAUAUCAGGAGGAACACCGGUGGCGAAGGCGGGACUCUGGGCUGUUACUGACGCUGAAGAGCGAAAGCAUGGGGAGCGAACAGGAUUAGAUACCCUGGUAGUCCAUGCCGUAAACGUUGGGCACUAGGUGUGGGACUCAUUCCACGAGUUCCGUGCCGCAGCUAACGCAUUAAGUGCCCCGCCUGGGGAGUACGGCCGCAAGGCUAAAACUCAAAGGAAUUGACGGGGGCC